UGGCGGACGGGUGAGAAACACGUGGGUAACCUGCCUCAUAGAGGGGAAUAGCCUUUCGAAAGGAAGAUUAAUACCGCAUAAGAUUGUAGUACCGCAUGGUACAGCAAUUAAAGGAGUAAUCCGCUAUGAGAUGGACCCGCGUCGCAUUAGCUAGUUGGUGAGGUAACGGCUCACCAAGGCGACGAUGCGUAGCCGACCUGAGAGGGUGAUCGGCCACAUUGGGACUGAGACACGGCCCAGACUCCUACGGGAGGCAGCAGUGGGGAAUAUUGCACAAUGGGGGAAACCCUGAUGCAGCAACGCCGCGUGAGUGAUGACGGCCUUCGGGUUGUAAAACUCUGUCUUUGGGGACGAUAAUGACGGAACCCAAGGAGGAAGCCACGGCUAACUACGUGCCAGCAGCCGCGGUAAU
rnacentral:rRNA from 1 species